rnacentral:rRNA from 1 species
GAUGAACGCUGGCGGCGUGCCUAAUACAUGCAAGUCGAGCGAACAGACGAUUAGCUUGCUCCUCUGACUUUAGCGGCUGACGUGUGAUUAACACGUGUAUAACCUACCUAUAAUACUUGUAUAACUUCGUGAAACCUUUUCUAAUACCGUUUAAUAUUUUUAACCUCUUUGUUCAUUAGUUAAUGACGUUUUUUCUUUCUCUUUUAGAUGUUUCCGCUCCGCAUUAGCUAGUUGGUAAGGUAACGGCUUACCAAGGCAACGAUGCGUAGCCGACCUGAGAGGGUGAUAGGACAAACGGGAACGGAGACACGGAACAGAGAACUACGGGAGGCAGCAGUAGGGAAUAGUCCGCAAGGGGCGAAAGAAUGACGGAGCAAAGCCGAGUGAGUGAAGAAGGACUUAGGAUCGGAAAAAUCUGUUAUGAGGGAAGAAAAAAAGUGGAAGAAAAGAAGAACGGAAUGACGGUAACAAAAAAGAAAGCAACGGCUAACUACGUG